GGGGGCAGCCUACCAUGCAGUCGAGCGGUAACAGAAAGUAACUUGGUACUUUGCUGACAAGCGGCGGACGGGUGAGUAAAGCGUGGGGAUCUGCCCGGUCGAGGGGGAUAACCGUUGUAAACGACGGCUAAUACCGCAUACGCCCUACGGGGGAAAGCAGGGGACCUUCUGGCCUUGUGCGAUUGUGUGAACCCAAGUGAGAUUAUCUUGUUGGUGAGGUAACGGCUCACCAAGGCGACAAUCUCUAUCUGGGCUGAGAGGAUGACCAGUCACACUGGGACUGAGACACGGCCCACACUCCUACGGGAGGCGGCACUGGGGAAUAUUGUGCAAUGGGGGAAACCCUGAUGCACCCCUGCCCCGUGUGUGAAAAAAGCCUUCUGGUUGUAAAGCACUUUCUCUGGUGAGGAAAGGAGGUUGUCUAAUACCUGACCUCUGUGACAUUAACCACACAAAAAACACCGGCUAACUCCGUGCCACCACCCCCGGUAAUACAGAGGGUGCAAGCGUUAAUCUCAAUAACUGGGCGUAAAGCGCACGCACGCGGUUUGUUAAACCACAUGUGAAAACCCCGGGCUCAACCCGGGAACUGCAUUUGUAACUGGGAGACUAUAGUCUUGUAGAGGGGGGUAUAAUUUCCGGUGUAUCGCUGAAAUGCGUAUAGAUCUCAAAGAAUACCACUGUCGAAAGCGGCCCCCUGUGCAAAGACUGACACUCACGUGCGAAAGCGUGUGGAGCAAACACGAUUAUAUACACUGUUAUUCCACACCGUAUACAAUGUCAACUUGUAGUCUGUGCCAUUUGAGCGCGCGUUCCGGAGCUAACACGUUAUGUUGACCGCCUGUGGAGUACAGGCGCAAGGUGAAAACUCAAAUGAAUUGACAGGGGCCCGCACAAGCGCUGGAGCAUGUGGUUUAUUUCUAUGCAACGCGAAAAAACUCAUCUACACUUGACAUACACCGAACUUGUGAGAGAUGCCUUGUUGCCUUCUGGAACACUGAUACACGUGCUGCAUGUCUGUCUUCUCUCUCGUCUCGAGAUGUGGGGUUAAAUCUCGCAACAAAGCGCAACACCUUGUCCUCUUUUUGCCACCGGGGUGAUGAUCCCGGA
rnacentral:rRNA from 1 species